UAUAUAUAAGUAUUAAAAAUACAUUAAUUUUUGAAAUUAAAAAUAAUAAUUAAAUUUAUUAUAUAUAU
rnacentral:tRNA from 1 species